rnacentral:lncRNA from 1 species
AUCUCCCAUUGCCUAGCCCUUUCCACUCUUCUGUUUCUACUUACUAUAAAUUCUAAAGAAGAAGGAGGUGAUCUGUAGAUUUUUCUUUUUCUACUUUGCCCUCUGGGCCAUCCUUCCUAAGAGAACAAAAUGAGAAUAAGAACAAAAAGGAGAAGGAGGGAAAAGAAGUUUAUCAUAACCAACUAAUGCAUCAACAGAGUCUGAAUAAGUGAAAUGUGCCAUAUCCACAGUCCUCAACUUCAGCCAAGGGACAGAGGCCCCUACCUUAUUAAAAAAAAACAACAAAGAAAGAAAAGAAAAGGAAUCUUAAGAAGACAGAGGCAGAGAGAAACGUAGAAGGAUGAGGAUGGAAAGUAGGUCAAUGGGUGAUUGGUAUUGAUUAAAGUCUCCAAGCAAAGCAUGGUAGUAGACUGGAAGAGCAAAAGACAUAUUUCCAGGUGCUCCUGACUGUUAGCCAAUAAACACAUAUCAAUCACUACUAGAGAUUAAGAC